rnacentral:misc_RNA from 1 species
GUCUCAAUUAUAGUUCGCAACCCAGAAAGCUAUGUGGACAACUUGUUGGAAUGGUCAAUCCAGGGCCCUUCUUCUCUUGUGCUUCAAAAUCCACAGGCAAUGGAGACGGAGACGGCGGAGUAUACGUCGGUGGUCGGAGAAAAAUUGUGAAGUUCACUGGCCGGAAAAUAUGAAUCGCGGCGACCGUAGAGAAACGGGAUCAGUGAGGAAGGAGUUAGGGAUUGCCGG